AGACAGAGCAAAACCUAAAACCCCGGAAACAACUACAAGGGGACGUACAAGCAUUUGUGUCGCUAUUUCGACUUCCUCUGGUUCCGAUAAGUGAUGAACAGAGACUUCUAGCGCAAGGGUAAAAUUCAGGGAUCUGCGUCUACAUUCACACCCCCCGCACGGUUCCCAGAAACGGAGCAGAACAAGAGGAGUCCACCGGCCGAUGAAAGCUUUGAAAGGAACAUCCGGGGGCGAACUUUCAAGCUGCUGCAGACCUAUUAAGAGAUACUGCUUCGACACUGAACAGGCUUGCUCUACAGCUGAACCAAGCACCAGGGCGUGCCUAGUGGAGCUAUCUCAGCCCUCGGCUAAUUGGAAGCCUCCGGAUAGUUACGGAAACGAAGUCCGGCCUCCACAUUUCCGGGGAGGUAAUGAAGCGCAGAAGCCUCUGCGUCCAAAAUCCAGCGUGGGCAGAGAUAAGGUAUACAAAGGAAGUGAUCACCAUGUCUGCUGCGCUCUGCAAAAGAAAAGAAAAGAAGGAGGGGGUAU